UACGUAGGGUGCAAGCGUUGUCCGGAAUUAUUGGGCGUAAAGAGCGCGUAGGCGGCCCGAUUAGUCCGCUGUGAAAGUCCAGGGCUCAACCCUGGAAUGCCGGUGGAUACUGUCGGGCUAGAGGCCGGAAGGGGCGAGUGGAAUUCCUGGUGUAGCGGUGAAAUGCGCAGAUAUCGUAAGGAAGACCAGUGGCGAAGGCGGGUCUCUGGACAGUUCCUGACGCUGAGGCACGAAGGCCAGGGGAGCAAACGGG
rnacentral:rRNA from 1 species